AAAUUGAAGAGUUUGAUCAUGGCUCAGAUUGAACGCUGGCGGCAGGCCUAACACAUGCAAGUCGAACGGUAACAGAAAGCAGCUUGCUGCUUUGCUGACGAGUGGCGGACGGGUGAGUAAUGUCUGGGAAACUGCCUGAUGGAGGGGGAUAACUACUGGAAACGGUAGCUAAUACCGCAUAACGUCGCAAGACCAAAGAGGGGGACCUUCGGGCCUCUUGCCAUCGGAUGUGCCCAGAUGGGAUUAGCUUGUUGGUGGGGUAACGGCUCACCAAGGCGACGAUCCCUAGCUGGUCUGAGAGGAUGACCAGCCACACUGGAACUGAGACACGGUCCAGACUCCUACGGGAGGCAGCAGUGGGGAAUAUUGCACAAUGGGCGCAAGCCUGAUGCAGCCAUGCCGCGUGUAUGAAGAAGGCCUUCGGGUUGUAAAGUACUUUCAGCGGGGAGGAAGGGAGUAAAGUUAAUACCUUUGCUCAUUGACGUUACCCGCAGAAGAAGCACCGGCUAACUCCGUGCCAGCAGCCGCGGUAAUACGGAGGGUGCAAGCGUUAAUCGGAAUUACUGGGCGUAAAGCGCACGCAGGCGGUUUGUUAAGUCAGAUGUGAAAUCCCCGGGCUCAACCUGGGAACUGCAUCUGAUACUGGCAAGCUUGAGUCUCGUAGAGGGGGGUAGAAUUCCAGGUGUAGCGGUGAAAUGCGUAGAGAUCUGGAGGAAUACCGGUGGCGAAGGCGGCCCCCUGGACGAAGACUGACGCUCAGGUGCGAAAGCGUGGGGAGCAAACAGGAUUAGAUACCCUGGUAGUCCACGCCGUAAACGAUGUCGACUUGGAGGUUGUGCCCUUGAGGCGUGGCUUCCGGAGCUAACGCGUUAAGUCGACCGCCUGGGGAGUACGGCCGCAAGGUUAAAACUCAAAUGAAUUGACGGGGGCCCGCACAAGCGGUGGAGCAUGUGGUUUAAUUCGAUGCAACGCGAAGAACCUUACCUGGUCUUGACAUCCACAGAACUUUCCAGAGAUGAGAUUGUGCCUUCGGGAACUGUGAGACAGGUGCUGCAUGGCUGUCGUCAGCUCGUGUUGUGAAAUGUUGGGUUAAGUCCCGCAACGAGCGCAACCCUUAUCCUUUGUUGCCAGCGGUCCGGCCGGGAACUCAAAGGAGACUGCCAGUGAUAAACUGGAGGAAGGUGGGGAUGACGUCAAGUCAUCAUGGCCCUUACGACCAGGGCUACACACGUGCUACAAUGGCGCAUACAAAGAGAAGCGACCUCGCGAGAGCAAGCGGACCUCAUAAAGUGCGUCGUAGUCCGGAUUGGAGUCUGCAACUCGACUCCAUGAAGUCGGAAUCGCUAGUAAUCGUGGAUCAGAAUGCCACGGUGAAUACGUUCCCGGGCCUUGUACACACCGCCCGUCACACCAUGGGAGUGGGUUGCAAAAGAAGUAGGUAGCUUAACCUUCGGGAGGGCGCUUACCACUUUGUGAUUCAUGACUGGGGUGAAGUCGUAACAAGGUAACCGUAGGGGAACCUGCGGUUGGAUCACCUCCUUACCUUAAAGAAGC
rnacentral:rRNA from 1 species